UGUUGAUUUACUUGAUGAGGGAAAUCAAUUACAAGUAAUUAUUUCCAGGACUACGGUGCCAUCUAUUGUUUAUAGCAGGUACUGCAGACAGCCUGCCGUCUCAGUCACUUCGUCACUGCUGUGCCAACCUACAAACCACGGUUUCAGAACACCGGUGUGCCUCAAGCACCGUAUAAUUUUUGGAAGCUCGAUGCUUAAAUUAGUUUAUAAUACAUGUCUAAAAAGUGUAUGAUCAUGUGUUUUUGCAUGAUCCUUCCCUGUACUCUUCUCAUCACAAAUCUUGGCGUUUUUGAAAAUAUUAUAUAUAUACUGCAGCUAAAAUGUCUUCAUAGAAUUGAAGGCUGCAAUGUAUAAACAGCAUAGCAUUAUCUUAGUAGACCAAAAGUACUAACACGAGUAUUAACUCUGAUGCCAUUGAAACCACUUGGUAGUGCUGUGGUCUAAUAUUCAAAUGAAAUCUCACAUUAUUGUCACAGUGUUUUGAGGUGGCGGGCUAAAAGAUCCAGGGAACGGUCUGCUCUUUCUGGCGAGGUGACACAAGCUUUCUGCUCGGCUUGUUUCUCACCUCCAGACUCAGCCCCUCGCAGGGUGAUUUCACACCCAGACCUCCAGCCUGACAACCUGCUAUGCAGACGUCCGGGCGCGGCAUCCAAGGUGUGAAGCCAGACCCUCUGGCUUCUAGAAGCAGAACACCCCGCACUACAACUCAGAACUCAACUGUUUCUCCUGCUGGGUCAUUGCUACUACUGGAUCAGGUCUGUCCUCUGGCUGGAUGGAUUGGCCAGCGGCGUGCAUCGGUGGUGAACGAUGAGAGGGAAACGUCCGCAUAGCGUUAUCAUCAUCAUCAUUACCAUCAUCAUUAUCAUCAUCAUUAUCAUCAUCGUCAUUACGAGUAUAAAAGGCUGAAAGGCAAACCACGAGGAGCAAACCGUGCUCCACAAAACCAUACGACAACAAAAUUAAUUAUAUCACAAUGCUUUAAUUCAAAAUACACUAUCAUAACGGCACAUUUGGACAAACGAUGAGCAACUUUAUUAGGAUUCUUUGUUUACAUUCAACAUCACUAUACAGGGGCCGUGAAUGGGUGUGGUUCUCCCUAGGACAGGGGGGGUCUGAUCCUCUCCAUACAGCAGCUCAACCAGCAGACACUGAGGGACACAUUACAGACUCAGCUCCAUGAAACUCAAGCAAGUCGCUCUGGAUAAGAGCGUCUGCUAAAUGACUAAAUGUAAAUGUAAGCACUGAAACCAUCUACAUUUACAUUUAGUCAUUUAGCAGAUGCUCUUAUCCAGAGCGACUUACAGUAAGUACAGGGACAUUCUCCCCGAGGCAAGUAGGGUGAAGUGCCUUGCCCAAGGACACAACGUCAUUUGGCACGGCCGGGAAUCGAACUGGCAACCUUCAGAUUACUAGCCCGCUUCCCUAACCGCUCAGCCACCUGACUCCCUAUUAACAUCUAAUAUCUGUAAUAGCCUUUCUCAAAUCUGGUCCUCAGGACAAACUGUCCUGCGCGUUUUAGAUGUUUUCCUCUUUGGACACACCUGAUUUAGAUGAGUAUUGAAGAGAGAAACACUUAAAACAAGCAGGGCAGGGGGAACCAGGAUUGGGAAAGGUUUAUUUUAUAGGCUAAAGUGAUACCUUGAUACUUUUUCUUUAUUCAUAUUCUAGAGAUCUUCUUCCAUUUCGUGGCUGUAAAACAAGAGAGGGAUGUUAUUUUCCUGGUGGUGUGGUCUCGUCACUCAGUUUAGAGGUUGAAGAGUGGUUCAGAGAUCUGCCUACCCGGUACAGGAAGUAGCCUCUGCUCUGGAUGCCAGCCGGGCCCUUCAGGUCCUCCUGCACACACACACACACACACUGUCAGGACAGGAAGUCAGGUUCAGUACAGGAAGUCGGAUCAGAACAGGAAGUCAAGGACAGACAGCCAAGAAACCAGGAAAGAGCUCCCUCCUUCCUUCCUUCCUUCCUUCUUUCCUUCUUUCCUUCUUUCCUUCUUUCCUUCUUUCCUUCCUUCCUUCCUUCCUUCCUUCCAACAGCGUCUCCAUCUUCUCGUAGAACGUGUUCCCACUAUGGGCACUGCUAGUAGGUCAGUGGGUGCUGGUUAUCUGUUUGGCUUCUAACCCCAAAGCAGCAGCUUCCUAGUCCAACACACAGCGUUUCUGCGUCACUUUUCCACAUUUCCUCGGAUGCUUCCGCUGCUUCUACUACGCGAAUGUCAGAUAGCGAGAAGUUCACCACUUAGCCACACCAAUUUUAGACGAUAAUUGCCCUAAGUAGGAAAGGAACAGCUAAUGCAGGCCAAGCUGGUACAGAGAGAGGGAACUGCAGCCUGCAGAGUAAAACACUCUCGCAUGUUAAAUAUGACAUGUUUGUAAUAACACGCGUCCUUGUGUACGCAUGUCAAGGUAGACCACUCUCACUCAGAAGCUGCCAUAACAAAACAAGCGGUUGUUGUUGUUUUUUUUAUUUGAUGUUUCUUUAUUAUUGUGUUUGGUUUUAUUGUAUUUUCUGUUUAGUUGCAUGAUGAGUGUUCAGGGGAUCCUAAAGGGACUUUCCAGUAGAGCGGGCGUUCCAUCUUUUUGAUGUCAUCUGCCUCGUCUCUCCGGAGUUAAACUGAUCGGAGCCCAGGCAUCAUCCGAAGACAUCGAUCAUCAGCUGAGGAACCAGUUGCAGCAGAGGGUGCAACAUGGGGGGCUGACGCAUCCACACACCAACAUGGAGAAACAUGAGAACCAUGAACAGCCACCUCUUGACACGGGGCCGGGGCGUGCAGAGAGGACUCUCAGCAUCAGGACACACACUUCUCCAAGCAGGUCUGACGGCUUCGGCAGAGAGAUUUAAGGAGAUUAUCCAACAAAAACAAACCUUGUCACAACCAGCCAAUUUUCAUCUCAUUUCAACAUGUCAUCCUUAUGACAUUUAUUUCAGGUGAUUAAGUAUCGAAUUACUCCAUAAAAAUACAUUGAAUGAAAAUGAGAUUAUGUAAAAAGUGUCAUAAGACAGCGCUGUCACUAGAGACUUAAUUACACUGAGCAGUAAAGCCUGAAGAGCGUUCAGCUCGUUAUUACAUCCUCACUCACCCGAAAUGGCAGGUCUGCAGAGAGGUAGGCUGAGCACACCUCAUCCACCUGGGGGGGAGAUGUGUCAACAUAAAGCCAGAUGUAGUGACAGACAGAAAGAAAAAAAAGAAAGAAAGAAAGAAAAAAGAGAAAGAAAGAAAAAGAGAAAGAUAGGGGAAAAGUAUGAAAGGUAGAGAGACAGAAAGAAUGAAAGGAAGAGAGAAGAGAAAAAGAUAGAAAGAGAGAGAGAAAGAGGAGGGUCUAACCUGACUGAGAAGCUGGUCCUGGUCUAUUGUUGCUCGUGGCAGCACUACUGGAGCACCUUCACCAGUCAGCAGGAAGACAGACAGGUAGGAAGACAGGCAGUCAGGCAGGCAGACACGUUGUCAGACAGACAGGCAGACAGACAGACAGACAGACAGGUGAGGAAGCAGGCAGACAGACAGUCAGUCAAGCAGGCAGACAGGUAUGAAGACAGGCAGACAGAGAGGCAGAUAAACAGGUGGGCAGAUUUGUCAUAUGAUCUUGUAGCAGAACAUCAACAUAAUUACAAUAUCAUGUUUGGAAUUAUUUACCAGAGGGUAUGCAUUGGCAGGAAUCUCAAAUCAUAUGUAGGCUAUUUGUCGUUUUAGUGUCAAUUUUACAAGUAAUAAUAUGCCAGUAGUACCAUAUAGGCUAUCACACGUACUGACAACUGUUAAUUUUCCCGUUUCGUGAUUUUUUUUUUUCAUCUGAAUUGUAUUGGUCUUAUGGUCGUAUAAAGCCAUCAGUUCAAAGUUUCAAAAACAGACAUUUCAAUCUGUCCUUUAAAGUUUCUUGUUUCAGACUUUUCUCAAACUAAAUCAAGUUGAUUAGAUAACGUUAAUUACAAAAUUUUUCAUCAAGGUGCUAUUAAACAUGAAGGAAAUGUUCAUAUCUUCCUAAAUACAGACAAUAAUCAUAAGGUUUUCCAUGGUUUAAAAUCAAGCAGUUAAAAUGUAUUAAUGCGUGACCACCUGUAGAGACAUCAUUUUCGUCGAUCAAUUACGGCUAUUUUAGUUUAAGUUGCCGUACCUUUCUUUGCCUUACUUUAGGCUAUAUAUAUGAAUCAAUCUAGUUUUAUUGUAAUGUAUGCAGUGCUUCAUACUGUCCAAGGCGUGGUUUAAUGUCCUAUCUCCCAUUUGAAAAAAAAAAAGUUUUAAACGUUAAAAAAAAUAAUAUCUUGACUAAAACACAACCAAUUUAAUUGCACGGGUUCAGCACAUAAGGUCAAAAGUCGUACAAAGCAACACAACUCCUCGAAACAAAGUAAGUAAUUUUAAAGUGUCACUACAUGUACAAAUAUUAUAAGAGCUUACUAGUGCAGACGGGGAUUGCUGAGAUGAGUAGAACGGCAAGGGUGAUGCUGACGGUGCUGAGCGGGCUCAUCGCGCUACUGUAGAGGUUGGUCACUUUGCUCGCGUUGCCGCUCUGAGAAACUCUGGUUUGGCACUGGGAGGUCUUCAUCGUUACGCACUUCUGUUCUCUGCUAUUCUCUGCUAUCUCGUAGCCUGUCGGGUUAGUAGUCGUUCUGGUGGGCUUAAUCCUCCCCCUAGGACCAUUAUAAGGCUGGAGUGGAGGUCACACGCUCGAUGAAUCAGUGACACUCCGUGGCGUCAUUCUGGGCUUGUUCCACGGUGAUAUAUUGUUUGCGUUACAUUAAUUCACAGCAAUUUUACAACUUUAUAUGACUCAGUCAGGCAUAAUCAAUUACAUGGGCAAAAUCAAAUAAGGCUCCCUCAACCCCAAGAUACCUGUCCUGUGCUGGUUAAGGAUAAAUGUGCAAAAGGAUACUGAUGGAAAAUGAGCCAAUGCGGUUGAGGAUGUUCUAGAACUCUACAGCCACGAUAGAAGGAUGUUCUAGAACUCUAUAUUCAUGAUCCAGUAUGUUUCUGAACUUGACACCCAUGAUAGCAGGAUGUACUGUAUAUCAAGGCCGUAGCCAUGGAGUCAACAUUGGGGGGGACUAAUUAAAUUUGUUAUGAUCA